CCUACGGGUGGCAGCAGUGAGGAAUAUUGGUCAAUGGACGAGAGUCUGAACCAGCCAAGUAGCGUGAAGGAUGACUGCCCUAUGGGUUGUAAACUUCUUUUAUAGGGGAAUAAAAUGCGCCACGUGUGGGGUUUUGUAUGUACCAUAUGAAUAAGGAUCGGCUAACUCCGUGCCAGCAGCCGCGGUAAUACGGAGGAUCCGAGCGUUAUCCGGAUUUAUUGGGUUUAAAGGGAGCGUAGGUGGUUUGUUAAGUCAGUUGUGAAAGUUUGGGGCUCAACCCGAAAAUUGCCGUUGAAACUGGCAGUCUUGAGUACAGUAGCGGUGGGCGGAAUUCGUGGUGUAGCGGUUAACUGCUUAGAUAUCACGAAGAACUCCGAUUGCGAAGGCAGUUCACUGGACUGCAACUGACACUGAGGCUCGAAAGUGUGGGUAUCAAACAGGAUUAGAUACCCUUGUAGUC
rnacentral:rRNA from 1 species